rnacentral:rRNA from 1 species
UACGUAGGGUGCGAGCGUAAUUCGGAAUACUGGGCGUAAAGCGUGCGCAGGCGGUUGGUUAAGUCUGAUGUGAAAGCCCCGGGCUCAACCUGGGAAUGGCAUUGGAAACUGGCUGGCUAGAGUGCGGCAGAGGGGGGUGGAAUUCCGCGUGUAGCAGUGAAAUGCGUAGAGAUGCGGAGGAACACCGAUGGCGAAGGCAGCCCCCUGGGCUGACACUGACGCUCAGGCACGAAAGCGUGGG